GUGUCAGCAGCCGCGGUAAUACGGGGGGAGCAAGCGUUGUUCGGAAUCACUGGGCGUAAAGAGCGUGUAGGCGGGCAAAUAAGUCAGACGUGAAAUUUCUCUGCUUAACAGGGAAACUGCGUUUGAAACUGUUUGUCUUGAGUACGGGAGAGGAAAGUGGAAUUCCUGGUGUAGCGGUGAAAUGCGUAGAUAUCAGGAGGAACACCGGUGGCGAAGGCGGCUUUCUGGUCCGAUACUGACGCUGUGGCGCGAAGGCUAGGGUAGCAAACAGAAUUAGAUACUCUGGUAGUCCUAGCGGUAAACGUUGGGCACUAGGUGUUGUUUCUUUAAAGGAGCAGUGCCGAAGCUAAUGCAUUAAGUGCCCCGCCUGGGGAGUACGACCGCAAGGUUGAAACUCAAAGGAAUUGACGGGG
rnacentral:rRNA from 1 species